rnacentral:rRNA from 1 species
UGGCCGCAGUAUCUUGACUGUGCUAAGGUAGCAUAAUCAUUAGUUUCUUAAUUAGGAACUGGAAUGAAAGGUUUGAUGAGAAAAAAUCUGUCUCCUGAAAAAAUAAUGAAUUUUAUUAUUAAGUAAAAAAGCUUAAGUGAGUUUGAGGGACGAGAAGACCCUAUAGAGUUUUAUAAUUGAAAGUUUAAUUAAAUUUGGUUUAUUAAUAAUUUUUAUAUUUUUAAUUAUUUGGUUGGGGUGACUGAAAAAUUGAUUAAACUUUUUUUAAAUUAUACAUUAAUGUAUGGGUAUGAAUGAUCCUGUAACACUGAUUAAAAGAAAAAAUUACCUUAGGGAUAACAGCGUAAUCUCUUUUUAGAGUUCAAAUUGAGAGAGGGGGUUGCGACCUCGAUGUUGGAUUAAAAUUAACUGCAGGUGCAGAAGCUUGAAAGUUUAGUCUGUUCGACUAAUAAAAUUUUACGUGAUCUGAGUUCA